GGCUCAGAUUGAACGCUGGCGGCAUGCCUUACACAUGCAAGUCGAACGGCAGCACGGGUGCUUGCACCUGGUGGCGAGUGGCGAACGGGUGAGUAAUAUAUCGGAACGUACCUUAUCGUGGGGGAUAACGCAGCGAAAGCUGCGCUAAUACCGCAUACGCCCUGAGGGGGAAAGCGGGGGACCGUAAGGCCUCGCGCUCACGGAGCGGCCGAUGGCAGAUUAGGUAGUUGGUGGGAUAAAGCUUACCAAGCCGACGAUCUGUAGCUGGUCUGAGAGGACGACCAGCCACACUGGGACUGAGACACGGCCCAGACUCCUACGGGAGGCAGCAGUGGGGAAUUUUGGACAAUGGGCGCAAGCCUGAUCCAGCCAUGCCGCGUGCAGGAUGAAUGCCUUCGGGUUGUAAACUGCUUUUGUACGGAACGAAAAGACUCUGGUUAAUACCUGGGGUCCAUGACGGUACCGUAAGAAUAAGCACCGGCUAACUACGUG
rnacentral:rRNA from 1 species